CAUUCCCUGUAUCGUCAUGUCCGGCAGUUGCAUGUGUUGGAGCACCUCCUGUUCAUCAUCCAAAACCACCACAAACAGUUGUGCCUGGAGCAUGCUCAGGUUGCCAAGGGAAGAACCCUUCCUAGCAAGUGAGUGUUUAAACCUGGUGCUUCAGUCGAACUGGCAGGUCCUGGAGGCUGAGAGGAUAUGAAAUAGGAAAUCAACCAACCUAACUCUCAACAAGACUUAGAUACCAGAGGCUUUGGCUGCCAACAGCAUGAAGUGCAGAGUCCUGUGUAGGUCUCUGGCUGACAUUCCUGAGCACAGGCUGCAGGGAAGCUUUCGAACUGAUGCAAGCUAACAGAAUUACCUAAGCAAGGAUUUGGUCCAGGCAUGGGAUAUGGACUCAGACUUCCCUUUUCCCCUGGCGAUGGGAUAUAUUCCUGUAAUUGUUCCCUCCUGCUCUGGUGGUAAGGGGGUGGAUGUUACCUCUUCCAGAGAUUCAUAAUCUUUAGAUAAAUAUAUGAGAACACCAUCUGAGACAUCAAAGAGCUGUUGAAGUUGUCAAAUUUCAGGUGCUUAACAAUUGUGAAGGAAAAAUGGUAGUCAUGGACAGCAGGAUAACAAAGACACAAAGGACAAAUGCAUAGAAAAUUAUGUGAAAAGAAGUUUCUUCAUUACUAGACUAUGCUUCUCUCUCUUUGAGUAACCUCUAUGGGCUUCAUUUAGCAAAGCAUUCUGACAUCAGAAACAUAAACUCUGUACUAUUAUUCAGGGUUGAUUUUAGUGUUUGCCACAGCUCGGGGGCAGAUUCACUGAUUACAGUGGAGCUACAGAACAUGAGUCUUACAUGACAUAGCAAUGGGUCCCUAUGGAAAGCCCUUACAGAGACACCAGGUAUGUGGGGUGAAGGUGAGGGUUGGUAAGCCUCCAGCAUUCCUCCUUGAUGUGGUGUUAGCACAGAGUGGAGAUCUGCACCCAGAUCUAGGAGCUGGGAGUAUUUCAUGUUUCUGACCCGCUUCAGUGGCUCCUCUGACCGUUGCAUCAGUUUGUUAGUUGAUGUCAAAUGAAAGAUGUCUUUUAGCAGAGCAGAGAACAGCUAGUGAAUCCUCCUAGUUGUCACUGAACUACACAACUGCUUUAUAGAUUCCAUGAGAAUAAGCCAGCUUACUAGAUGGGAUGAGUCAUUCACUCCAUCUUUAAAACAGUCAAACUGUUGUUGCAGAGAUUUGUCUCCUAACUAGUUCACCUAUGGAAGACUUGCUAAGAACUUGGGUCUCUGAAGCAAAACUGUUGCAGUAUCUCUGCACAGCACUUUGGAACUGGUCUGUCUUGAACUACAAAAUAUAAUGGAAGCUUGCUAGUCUUAAUGCAGAGAAUCAU